rnacentral:rRNA from 1 species
GACAGAAGGGACGAGCGUUACUCAUAUUUACUGGGCGUCAAGGGUAUGUAGGUGGUUUAUUAUGUUUUGUACUAAAGGCUAUGGAUAAUCCCGUAAGUCGGUACAUUUUACAGUUAAACUAGAGUUUAGUGUGGGUUUGGAGUACUCUCUGUGUAGUAUUAAAAUGCGAAAAUAUAGAGAUGACUGCCGAUGAUGAAGAUACCAUUCUUAGCUAGACUGACACUGAGGUACGGAAGUUUGGGUAUCGAACGGG